GAUGAACGCUGGCGGCGUGCCUAAUACUUGCAAGUCGAGCGAACAGACGAGGAGCUUGCUCCUCUGACGUUAGCGGCGGACGGGUGAGUAACACGUGGAUAACCUACCUAUAAGACUGGGAUAACUUCGGGAAACCGGAGCUAAUACCGGAUAAUAUAUUGAACCGCAUGGUUCAAUAGUGAAAGACGGUUUUGCUGUCACUUAUAGAUGGAUCCGCGCCGCAUUAGCUAGUUGGUAAGGUAACGGCUUACCAAGGCAACGAUGCGUAGCCGACCUGAGAGGGUGAUCGGCCACACUGGAACUGAGACACGGUCCAGACUCCUACGGGAGGCAGCAGUAGGGAAUCUUCCGCAAUGGGCGAAAGCCUGACGGAGCAACGCCGCGUGAGUGAUGAAGGUCUUCGGAUCGUAAAACUCUGUUAUUAGGGAAGAACAAAUGUGUAAGUAACUAUGCACGUCUUGACGGUACCUAAUCAGAAAGCCACGGCUAACUACGUG
rnacentral:rRNA from 1 species